GGGGGUAUAGCUCAGUGGGUAGAGCAU
rnacentral:piRNA from 1 species